rnacentral:lncRNA from 1 species
UUCCUUUAGAUAAGAAAUGUAAUUCAACGUCCAUGUUACUUCAAACUCAGAAGUAACUGGUUGCAAGAGUUUCUUCUGACACUUGGCAAGCCAGAUGCACCAAGAUAUUUGCACAAGUAGUUCUGCUGAGGCAAGUGGUACUGCUGAAAAUAUAAGAAGCAGAACUGGGCUUGGUAUGUAGUUAUUUAAUGACAGUCAGUUGCUUAAUGGAUUGAUUAUCUAUGUCUAAACUGUGGGACGUGGAGCUGGCAUCUUGCCUUGUCUCUACUCCACAUCAGGAUGAAAUCCAGUGUGUGCUUUUCUGCUUUGGUUCAAAUGGCACCCCGCUGUCUGCUGGAUGAGAGAGGGGAGGGCAGAAGCUGUGAUGAUGUUUUCUGACAUGUCCAUGUUGUAAAUGACCAGGGAAUGUGGACAGAAAGAUGAAUCAUCUUGCAGUUUUCAUGGAGCUAUCGGAAUCAUGACUUUUGUGUUCACUGUCUAUUCACAGUCAUGUGAUAAUAAUUAAGUUGUUUCUAUUUUAUACCUGCUUAUAUAAAAGUGACUAGAUUUCUUUUUUUUUUCUAUUUAUAUGUUAUGUUUCUAUUUUUAUUUUUCUGUUUAUUUUUUCCUAUUUUAUAGGUUUGUAUCAGCAGCACAUACAUACAAAAACAAAUCCCCUCACCAACAGCAUCGGAGAAAAGAGAUACCAUUUUCUCUUGUCAUUGUGGUGUAAACCUGACAGUCUUCAUGAAAUAACAUGGUGAUGCCAGGAAUGCAUGUUAGAUGAAGGACUGUUACAUCUCCUGCACAUAUCUUAUUGGACAGCACAUGCAAAGAGACUGUCAACAAAACAACAACAGAGAAGGUUUGCUCUGACACCCCUGUCACAGCUGGACAACUUUGAGAGAACAGUCUUUGCCAAGCCUAAUUCUGAUUCAGCAGAAACAAUAAAUAAAUAA